GCAUGCUAGUUGUACGGGUUUAGACCCGUAGCAAAUAGCUCCGUAACACGUGGUCAAACUACCCUCUGGACCGGAAUACCCUCGGGAAACUGAGGCUAAUUCCGGAUACUGCUUUCAUGUUGGAACACAGAAAGUCGGAAACGGUCCGCCGCCGGAGGACGUGACUGCGGCCGAUUAGGUAGACGGUGGGGUAACGGCCCACCGUGCCGAUAAUCGGUACGGGUUGUGAGAGCAAGAACCCGGAGACGGUAUCUGAGACAAGAUACCGGGCCCUACGGGGCGCAGCAGGCGCGAAACCUUUACACUGCACGCCAGUGCGAUAAGGGGACCCCGAGUGCGAGGGCAUACAGUCCUCGCUUUUCGUGACCGUAAGAAGGUCUCAGAAUAAGAGCUGGGCAAGACCGGUGCCAGCCGCCGCGGUAAUACCGGCAGCUCGAGUGAUAGCCACUAUUAUUGGGCCUAAAGCGUCCGUAGCCGCGCCGAACAGGUCCGUCGGGAAAUCCACCUGCUCAACGGGGUGGACGUCCGGCGGAAACCAGUCGGCUU
rnacentral:rRNA from 1 species